rnacentral:rRNA from 1 species
CCUACGGGAUGCAGCAGUGGGGAAUAUUGGACAAUGGGCGAAAGCCUGAUCCAGCCAUGCCGCGUGUGUGAAGAAGGCCUUCGGGUUGUAAAGCACUUUCAGUGGGGAAGAAAGCCUUGGGGCUAAUACCCUCGAGGAAGGACAUCACCCACAGAAGAAGCACCGGCUAACUCCGUGCCAGCAGCCGCGGUAAUACGGAGGGUGCGAGCGUUAAUCGGAAUUACUGGGCGUAAAGCGCGCGUAGGCGGUCUGAUAAGCCGGUUGUGAAAGCCCUGGGCUCAACCUGGGAACGGCAUCCGGAACUGUCAGGCUAGAGUGCAGGAGAGGAAGGUAGAAUUCCCGGUGUAGCGGUGAAAUGCGUAGAGAUCGGGAGGAAUACCAGUGGCGAAGGCGGCCUUCUGGACUGACACUGACGCUGAGGUGCGAAAGCGUGGGUAGCAAACAGGAUUAGAUACCCCAGUAGUC